rnacentral:rRNA from 1 species
CAGCCGCCGCGGUAAUACGUAGGGUGCGAGCGUUAAUCGGAUUUACUGGGCGUAAAGCGUGCGCAGGCGGCCCGUUAAGACAGGUGUGAAAUCCCUGGGCUCAACCUAGGAAUUGCGCUUGUGACUGGCGGGCUCGAGUACGGUAGAGGGGGGUGGAAUUCCUGGUGUAGCAGUGAAAUGCGUAGAGAUCAGGAGGAACACCGAUGGCGAAGGCAGCCCCCUGGGCCUGUACUGACGCUCAUGCACGAAAGCGUGGGGAGCAAACAGGACUAGAUACCCUGGUAGUCCACGCCCUAAACGAUGGGUACUAGCCGUUUGGUGCGCGAUAGCGCUGAGUGGCGAAGCUAACGCGUGAAGUACCCCGCCUGGGGAGUACGGCCGCAAGGUUGAAACUUAAAGGAAUUGGCGGG